rnacentral:rRNA from 1 species
GACGAACGCUGGCGGCGCGCCUAACACAUGCAAUUCGAACGAGCGAGCGAGAGCUUGCUUUCUUGAGCGAGUGGCUAACGGGUGAGUAACGCGUGAGGAACCUGCCUCAAAGAGGGGGACAACAGUUUGAAACGACUGCUAAUACCGCAUAAGCCCACGACCCGCCAUCGGGUUGAGGGAAAAGGAGCAAUCCGCUUUGAGAUGGCCUCGCGUCCGAUUAGCUAGUUGGUGAGGUAACGGCCCACCAAGGCGACGAUCGGUAGCCGGACUGAGAGGUUGAACGGCCACAUUGGGACUGAGACACGGCCCAGACUCCUACGGGAGGCAGCAGUGGGGAAUAUUGCACAAUGGGGGAAACCCUGAUGCAGCGACGCCGCGUGGAGGAAGAAGGUCUUCGGAUUGUAAACUCCUGUUGUUGAGGAAGAUAAUGACGGUACUCAACAAGGAAGUGACGGCUAACUACGUG